CCUACGGGAGGCAGCAGUGGGGGAUAUUGCACAAUGGGGGGAACCCUGAUGCAGCGACGCCGCGUGGGUGAAGGAGUCUUUCGGUAUGUAAAGCCCUAUCGGCAGGGAAGAAUUUAGACGGUACCUGACUACGCAGCCCCGGCUAACUACGUGCCAGCAGCCGCGGUAAUACGUAGGGGGCAAGCGUUAUCCGGAUUCACUGGGUUUACAGGGUGCGUAGGCGGAGUGUCAAGUCAGCGGUAAAAUUUCGGGGCUCAACCCCGUCGUGCCGUUGAAACUGACACCCUUGAGUGAGUGAGAAGUAAGCGGAAUGCGUGGUGUAGCGGUGAAAUGCAUAGAUAUCACGCAGAACGCCGAUUGCGAAGGCAGCUUACCGGCGCUCAACUGACGCUGAGGCACGAAAGUGCGGGUAUCGAACAGGAUUAGAUACCCGGGUAGUC
rnacentral:rRNA from 1 species